GUGGGGAAUUUUGGACAAUGGGCGCAAGCCUGAUCCAGCCAUGCCGCGUGAGUGAAGAAGGCCUUCGGGUUGUAAAGCUCUUUCGGUGAAGACGAAACGGUUAGCGCUAAUAACGCUGACUAAUGACGGUACUCACAGAAGAAGCACCGGCUAACUACGUGCCAGCAGCCGCGGUAAUACGUAGGGUGCAGGCGUUAAUCGGAAUUACUGGGCGUAAAGCGUGCGCAGGCGGUUUGCUAAGACAGGUGUGAAAUCCCCGGGCUUAACCUGGGAAUUGCGCUUGUAACUGGCAGGCUAGAGUGUGGCAGAGGGGGGUGGAAUUCCACGUGUAGCAGUGAAAUGCGUAGAUAUGUGGAGGAACACCGAUGGCGAAGGCAGCCCCCUGGGUCAACACUGACGCUCAGGCACGAAAGCGUGGGGAGCAAACAGGAUUAGAAACCCCGGUAGUCC
rnacentral:rRNA from 1 species